UACGUAGGGGGCGAGCGUUGUCCGGAAUCAUUGGGCGUAAAGCGCGUGUAGGCGGCCCGGUAAGUCCGCUGUGAAAGUCCAGGGCUCAACCCUGGGAUGCCGGUGGAUACUGUCGGGCUCGAGUCCGGAAGAGGCGAGUGGAAUUCUUGGUGUAGCGGUGAAAUGCGUAGAUAUCAAGAGGAACACCUGCGGCGAAGGCGGGUUGCUGGGCCGACACUGACGCUGAGGCGCGAAAGCUAGGGGAGCGAACGGG
rnacentral:rRNA from 1 species